GAAACAUUUUGUUCCAGUGAGCUCUUACCCUUUCUCUUUUGUAUUUCAGGUGCAGCUUCCCCCUGCAGAUCUACCAAUAUAAAAUCUACAGUUUGUUUUUUCAGAGAGGCACAGCAGUAUGUUUGCCACAGCCAUACCACCUGCAGGGCAUUUUAUGCACAAAUCCCCCACAGCGCUCUUUCGAGGCAUGUGUCAAAGUUGUGUUGAAGAAUGAACAGCACAGCCUUCUCCCCCUCUCUUCCCCCAGAAUAAAGGAAGAAAACAAACUCUGAUUUUAAAAACAAACCCAAAUGUUUUGUGCAGCCCAGUUGGCAAAACUGCUGAAAGCUGACAGGUAAGAUUUAAUAUAGUAACCAUCCUACCUAAUGUGUUAUUUGUUCUGGAACUGGUUUUGAUUCUGA
rnacentral:lncRNA from 1 species